AUACUUACCUGGACGGGGUCAAUCGGUGAACAGGAAUCCCGAUGGCCUAGGGUUGGUGCCUCCAUUGCACUCAGGGGGUUGCUCACCUUAGUAUCUCCUCAAGUAGGAGAGUACACGUCAUAAUUUGUGGUAGGGGGGUACGCGUUCGCGCGGCCCCCAU
rnacentral:snRNA from 1 species